GCUGUCCAGUGGUGAGGCUCUGGAAUGAGCACUGGGCACAGCGCCCAAGUCAGACUGGAAAUAUUCUUUGCUGCCUGCCUUCUAAGAACAGC
ensembl:snoRNA small nucleolar RNA, C/D box 83B